GACGAACCGUGCGAACGUUGUUCGGAAUCACUGGGCUUAAAGGGCGCGUAGGCGGAUGGUCAAGUCGGUGGUGAAAGCCUCCAGCUUAACUGGAGAAGCGCCGCCGAUACUGACUGUCUCGAGGAAGGUAGGGGCAUGUGGAACUGAGGGUGGAGCGGUGAAAUGCGCAGAUAUCAGGAGGAACACCGGUGGCGAAGGCGGUUCUCUGGGAAUGUCCUGACGCUGAGGAGCGAAAGUGUGGGGAGCGAACAGG
rnacentral:rRNA from 1 species